rnacentral:rRNA from 1 species
GACAGAGGGUGCAAACGUUGUUCGGAAUUACUGGGCGUAAAGCGCGUGUAGGCGGCUAAGUAAGUCGGGCGUGAAAUCCCACGGCUCAACCGUGGAAGUGCACUCGAAACUGCAUAGCUAGAGUCCUGGAGAGGAAGGUGGAAUGCUUGGUGUAGAGGUGAAAUUCGUAGAUAUCAAGCGGAACACCGGUGGCGAAGGCGGCCUUCUGGACAGUGACUGACGCUGAGACGCGAAAGCGUGGGGAGCAAACGGGG